rnacentral:tRNA from 1 species
AAAUAAGAAACAAAAUUUGUAUUUAGUUUCGACCUAAAAUUUUGAUGAUUAUCUCAUCCUUAUUUU